UCGAAUGAAAUGGACGAUAUCACUGACAUUUUACUGAGUCAUAUUUUCUGAUAUACGAAUUAUGUUGUUGGGUCGAAUUGCAUUUACUGCCGAUAAUUACUAAUUUUGUAAAAUACUUUCCUCGUCACCAUAUUUUAGUAAAAUAAAAUUAAAAUGGCUGCUACAAGGAGACUUCAAAAGGAGUUAAACGACAUCAGACAAUCGGGAUUGAAAUCAUUUAGAGACAUUCAAGUAGAUGAAUCUAAUAUUCUUACAUGGCAAGGCCUGAUUGUGCCCGACAAUCCCCCUUACAACAAAGGUGCCUUUCGUAUCGAGAUUAACUUCCCAGCAGAAUACCCAUUCAAACCUCCCAAGAUUAGUUUCAAAACAAAAAUCUACCAUCCCAACAUUGAUGAAAAAGGUCAAGUGUGUUUACCCAUAAUUAGUGCUGAAAAUUGGAAACCAGCUACCAAGACUGAUCAAGUUAUCCAAGCUCUGGUCGCCCUUGUAAAUGAUCCAGAACCGGAGCAUCCAUUACGAGCUGAGCUUGCAGAAGAAUUCCUAAAAGACAGGAAAAAAUUCACAAAGAAUGCGGAAGAAUUCACCAAGAAACAUAGUGAAAAACGGCCCACUGACUAAUGUAGCCUAAUUCAAAUUUCUUUGACUUUACAAUGGUAAAUGGCAUUUUCAGUAUGAAACAAGUAUUUUAACUUAUGUGUGCAUUUAUCCUAUAAACAAAUCUAUCCCUUCUUCACUUGUUUAGAAUGAAUUCAUUCACUAGUGUAAAGUUAAAGGUUUUUUUCAUAAGGCUAGGUAAUGUUACUCCUCAAUCACAGCUUGCAAUAUGCACCUUACUGUAAUGUUGCAUUACCUUACAAAGCAAUAAUUAUAUAUUUUUCUGACAAUAAUCUGCUACAGUUGCGUUAAUACUGAAACAUCAAAGAAACUAGUUCAGCUAAAUUGGCUAUAAUCACAGAUAUUGUUAGUGUGUCCAUUCUUAAGUUAUAAUCUUGUAUUGAACAAUUUAAUGAGAGAUUCUAAAUACAUUUUUUCCACUUA